rnacentral:rRNA from 1 species
CAAUAGCGUAUAUUAAAGCUGUUGCGGCUAAAAAGCUCGUAGUUGGAUUUCUGUCAAGGACAACUGGUCCGCCCUCCGGGUGAGCACAUAGUUUGGUCUUGACAUCUUGCUGGAAGCUGUUGCUGCACUUGGCUGUGUGGCGCAGUGUUCAGCACUUUCACUUUGAGGAAAUUGGAGUGUUUCAAGCAGGCACAUGCCUUUGGACACAGUAGCAUGGAAUAAUUAGAUUGGGCUUUUGCUCCAAUUUGUCGGUUUCUGGAGCUGAGGUGAGUAUUAAUGGGGAUUGUUGGGGGCAUCCGAAUUUAGCCGUCAGAGGUGAAAUUCUUGGAUCUGCUAAAGACGGACAACUGCGAAAGCGUUUGCCCAGGAUGUUUUCAUUGA